AUAACUGAAAGCAAAGAAAUAACUAGACAAUAAUGUGUUUCAGAUCUAAAAGUAGAAAUUGUUCAUUAGCUUAGAAUUUUAAACACCUCAAUUGGUUCGGUGUCUUCUUUUGAAGGGUAGUUUUGACAAUUUUAAUAGAUAAUUGACGGUCAUUCAAUGAUAGUGACCAACUUGACACUACCCCAAAGUUCAAGGUACUAAAGUGGAAAUUUCCCUAAAAAGAAAUAAAGAAUGGUAUUAAUUAAUUUCUCAACUCAAAGCACCAUGAAAUCAAAAUAAUAAGAAAACCAAUACAUUGGGUAGAUAAUCAAUCCAUUCUCCGUAACAGCUGGGCCAUCCCACAUCAGUCCCUGCAAUUGCCAUUGAAGUUGAAGCACAGAAUAAAGCGUAUCCCUGUGCAGCCGUUGCAUGGGCCACUGGAGCGAUCGGCCAGGACUCGUUGCAAGAAGUGCAGGAGUUUCCUUUACUCGUGCAAGCUCACCACCUCGUCAGCUUCUCUGAUGUAUCUUCCCUUUGCAAAAGCGGUUUAGGGCUCGGUUGAAAAAAUAGAAGGGAAGUUCGAAUGAUUCAAAAGUAUUUUAUCUUUUUUCUAACCGGUGACCUAAUCGUAUACACCCACUUAACGGAAAGACAAUGCUAAUAGAAAUGGCUUCAUUCGAAUAGGUGACAUGCAUGCCUCCUAUUAGAGGGUAUACGCUCACCGCGGACCUACAGGUUCAUUGGAUUCAUUCUCAUCAAGUACAUGGUGUCUUAAUGUUCAAAUUUUCAUGUCUUUAAAGAGGAUAAGCCGGAUGUCACUGGUUGGUGUAAUGCUGGUCAUGGGGAGGGAAGCAAAAAAGAAGGCAAUUUAGAGUAUCUAUAACGUUCUUCUGCAAGGUUUCUUUUUAUUGAAAUGAUCUCUUUAUUUUGUACUUUGGGUCUAUGUUCACUUUGAUCCUCAAACUUUAAAAUGUGUCAAUUCAAUAUCUAAACUAGAUCAACAGGGGCCAAAUCAUGAUA